rnacentral:rRNA from 1 species
CCCUUAGAUGUUCUGGGCCGCACGCGCGCUACACUGUUCGACGCAGCGAGUCUUAACCUUGACCGAAAGGUUUGGGUAAUCUUCAGCAAAGUCGAACGUGAUGGGGAUCGAUCAUUGCAAUUAUUGAUCGUGAACGAGGAAUUCCUAGUAAGUGCAAGUCAUCAGCUUGCGCUGAUUACGUCCCUGCCCUUUGUACACAACGCCCGUCGCUACUACCGAUUGAAUGGUUUAGUGAGAUCUCUGGAUUGACGCUGGCUAGGGGGCGACCCUUGGCCAGGCUGUCGAGAAACUGCUCAAACUUGAUCAUUUAGAGGAAGUAAAAGUCGUAACA